GAUGAACGCUAGCGGCAGGCCUAACACAUGCAAGUCGAGGGGUAGCAGGAUUAAGCUUGCUUAAUUGCUGACGACCGGCGCACGGGUGCGUAACGCGUAUGCAACCUACCUUAUACUGGGGUAUAGCCCGGAGAAAUUCGGAUUAAUCCCCCAUAGUACUAAUGAAUCGCAUGGUUUAUUAGUUAAAGCAUUGCGGUAUAAGAUGGGCAUGCGUCCUAUUAGCUAGAUGGUGAGGUAACGGCUCACCAUGGCUACGAUAGGUAGGGGGCCUGAGGGGGGUGUCCCCCACACUGGUACUGAGACACGGACCAGACUCCUACGGGAGGCAGCAGUGAGGAAUAUUGGUCAAUGGGCGCAAGCCUGAACCAUCCAUGCCGCGUGCAGGAAGAAUGCCCUAUGGGUUGUAAACUGCUUUUAUUUGGGAAUAAACCUCUUUACGUGUAGAGAGCUGAAGGUACCAAAUGAAUAAGCACCGGCUAACUCCGUGCCAGCAGCCGCCGUAA
rnacentral:rRNA from 1 species